rnacentral:rRNA from 1 species
GAUGAACGCUGACAGAAUGCUUAACACAUGCAAGUCUACUUGAACUUCGGUUUGGGUGGCGGACGGGUGAGUAACGCGUAAAGAACUUGCCUCACAGAUAGGGACAACAUUUGGAAACGAAUGCUAAUACCUGAUAUUAUGAUUUUAGGGCAUCCUAGAAUUAUGAAAGCUAUAUGCACUGUGAGAGAGCUUUGCGUCCCAUUAGCUAGUUGGAGAGGUAACGGCUUACCAAGGCGAUGAUGGGUAGCCGGCCUGAGAGGGUGAUCGGCCACAAGGGGACUGAGACACGGCCCUUACUCCUACGGGAGGCAGCAGUGGGGAAUAUUGGACAAUGGACCAAGAGUCUGAUCCAGCAAUUCUGUGUGCACGAUGAAGUUUUUCGGAAUGUAAAGUGCUUUCAGUUGGGAAGAAAAAAAUGACGGUACCAACAGAAGAAGUGACGGCUAAAUACGUG